CCUACGGGUGGCAGCAGUGAGGACUAUUGGUCAAUGGGCGCGAGCCUGAACCAGCCAAGUAGCGUUAAGGAUGACUGCCCUACGGGUUGUACACUUCUUUUAUAACUGAAUACAGUGAGGCACGUGUGCCUUUUUGUAUGUACUUUAUGAAUCAGUAUCGGCUAACUCCGUGCCAUCAGCCGCGGUAAUACGGAGGAUCCGAGCGUUAUCCGGAUUUAUUGGGUUUAAAGGGAGCGUAGAUGGGUUGUUAAGUCAGUUGUGAAAGUUUGCGGCGCAACCGUAAAAUUGCAAUUGAUACUGGCAGUCUUGAGUACAGUUGAGGUAGGCGGAAUUCGUGGUGUAGCGGUGAAAUGCUUAGAUAUCACGAAGAACUCCGAUUGCGAAGGCAGCUUACUAAACUGCCACUGACAUUGAUGCUCGAAAGUGUGGGUAUCAAACAGGAUUAGAUACCCUUGUAGUC
rnacentral:rRNA from 1 species